CCCAGUGCCAGAAACAUCUGUGCUGCCCAGUGGGGAGGAACAUGUUUACCAGAUGGGGGUUUAUGAGCUCUGUCAGCAGCUUCUGAGCAGCUCCUCGAUGUAAAUCACACCCUCCAAGAAGGAGCUGGGGUGACCUGUGCACAGCAGGGCAGUGACGCAUGAGGUCUUGGCUUGCAUCGCAUCCCCUGAUCCCAAGGCAUUGCCCACUCUGACGCUCGCAGCCACGCUGAACCCCAGAGGCACCUGAGAAGCAGGAGACAAGGAAGAGGUGAGUGGCAACAGAACCUGCAGCAAUAUUCCUCUACCCCAGUAGGGAAUUUGGGGCAAAUAGGCAUUGCUGCAGCAAAGGGAUUUUCCAUCUGCAGCACACCUGGGGAUAUACAAUUGUUCUGCAGGCCUGGGAGUCAUCACCUGCCUGGUACCAACUCCAGCUUCCCUCCCAGCCUUGAUCUUAAGGACCACAGUCUGGGGGCUUCCUUCCAGGCUGAUCUUUUACACACCCAGCCCUUACCAUGUACGCUGCAGAGGAGAGCACAUAGAUGACAGACUGUGCACCCAGCUCCACCACACUGAGCAGACCUGGAAAAGAUUCAGCAUUUCCUUCAUUGGGUCAGAAUUCAACUCCUCCUGACAAGUAGGCAGUGACUCCAGGGUUCCCAUCUAACAUCCUGCAGAAAUAACCCUGCAUGCGAGGAGGCUGCCUGCAGGACACACUCAAGAGGCAGCCACCAGAGCACUUCCAUGGCUGGAAGAUGACCUGUUGAGCUAGGGGAAAAAAAGAGGAUUUGGACUCACCUGCCAAGAAGCUUCCAAUCUCAAAGGUCCACCAUUCAAUACACAUCAUGAGCAUGCUGGGCACCGCCAGCCAGGUAAAGGAACCCCAGUCCAGGAGACAGUCCUUGGACCAACCUGCAAUGAGGAGGUGAAGCAAAAUGAAUACAUGUUCUCCCUUUGCUGCUGUACCAUGUUCUGUUCCUGAGACAGGAUGAUCAACAAGAAUAUACUUGGAACUACAGUAAAGGCCCUGAGGACAUGGCUGCAGCAUCUUCCUGCCAUGAGGGAAUGGUAAUCCCUUUGUCAGUUGCUGGUGACAGUGCCAAAUCCUCAGGGUCAGAUACUGGUAUUUUGAAGGAUUAAGCUAUGAACAGUACCUCCCCAGGUCUCCACAUAAAUCUUCUUCCACCACACGUAAAGGAAGAGGAGAAUGGCCUGGGAGUACUGAGAAACAGUGUUAGCCCAGGCAGAGCCCCUAGGGAGAGAGACAGGCAGGUCAGAGGGUACUAGAAGCAGGCACUCAGGAUACCCCAGCCCCUAGCAACCCCCUGCACCCAGGGAGAGGCUGUCACCAACCUCUGCUCACACUUACACCAAGCCCAGGUUCAGUGCAUACAGGAAGAAGGCAUUUAUGGCCACAUUGAGGAGGUUGGCUGCAAUCCCUGUCAGCACCUGAGGCAAAAUGAUGGCCUGGAAGCCAAGAAGGAACUUUGGAGUUUACUGCCCCAACACUGCCCAAGCCCCAUCCAGCAAACACAGGGGAGACCUACAGCAGUGCCCAAGGAGAAAGCCUAGAAGGCAGCUCCUGUUUCAGGUAAAGCUGGAUUGUGUUAGGCAUGCAGAAGGGAGUUGCAGGGCUCAAGAACUGGUGCAGUCAAAAUGCAGAGUUGGGAGGUAGCAGUGGGGAAAUGGAGCAAUUCCCAUGAGCUCUCCCUGCCCUGCAGGGCUGGCUGGGGACUCUGCAUCACACACUCCUCAGCCCAUCUCUCCCCAGAUGAAUUUAGAUGACAAGUUUUAUGCAUGUUCCAGAGCCUGGCUACUUAUACCAUACCUGACUUAGUAAAUAUCUUGUCUGCAGCUGGUACAGAAACGCCGCCUGCAAGAGUCAAGAUUCAUUUCAUCAGUAUCACCACACGGAUUUGACUGCCAGCUACCAUUUAGCACUCACAGAUGGGUCCUUCCCUCAGCUCCCCGUGCUGCCCAACACCCUGCUCCUGUGGUCUGGGCUGCCACUCAAAGCCAAGAGUAGCGAAAGGCACCUCCCAUUCCCACUAGGAAGGGAGAUCAGUCUCUAAAUGGGAAUCUCCUGUGCUUCCUCAUCAGCAUGAAGUGCCUGGAAGCCUUGGAGGAAAGGAUUAACCCAUAGGCCCUUAUUCCCCAGGGGUACUACUCUGAGCCAAGAGCCCAGCAGCUAUGAGUGUGUGACAACAGCAAACUGCAGGCUUUAUCUCAGAGCUAAGAGUGGGCCCUGGAGCCCUUGGUUCCAAUGUCCACCACUGGUUAUGUGUUGUGUGGAGAUGUGGCCUGCAGUAAAAGCCUUUGCACAGCAAGAUGAAAGACUGCAUGUUUGCUGGUCCAGCAGCUGCUGGCCAACGCACAUCUGUUAAAGCCCAAGAUCAAGGAGCACAUUGCAAAACCCUCACUAUGCUGUUCUGUGAUCCACACAGCAAAGACCCUCCCACCCUUCCCCUAAUGUUACUGAGGGAUGCAGAGCUUCUAACAGCUUUAGCAGCAACUUACAGGAAGUGCUGGAAUAAAGAUCAUCACGUAGACCUGAGUUAACCUGGAAAGACAGUUGUUUCCUCGGUUAAUAAUAGAGCAAAGCAAGAACCAAGCCAAGCAGCUUGCACUCAAGCUCCACAGAGCCUUGAUUCCAACACUGCAUGGCAACCCACCCACAGCCAAAUGCCUCACCCAGAAGGGCUUUAUCUGACUGCUGACCUGGAGACCUCAGGGUCCUGUCGGAGGAGCAGGAGGAUCUGCUCGGUGUUGAUGAAGAGCGCCCAGCAAGGGAAGCAGCACAGCAGCAGGAUGAGGAUACCCCUCUGCAGGAUGGUGCCCACCUGCUUCAGGUUCUUGCCACCAUAUGUCUGAGUCAGGAGAGAGAGGACCAAGGUGAGGAUGCAUAGUGAGGGAACAUAAAAACUCCCAAUGCUUUUCCACACUUCUGUACAGCUGUGGAAAGCCCUCCUCCCAAACUGCAAUGUCCUCUCCUCCUGCAGAGACACCAAGUCCAGCUUGUUCCUCCCCAGGGGCUACAGCAAGGCCUAACAAUGCUGUAGCGGGGAUUGCAUGCCAGACCUCAUUUCCCCUGACCAAGAGGAUGGCCUUCUUACAAGCAUCCACAGCACAGAGUCAUGGCACAGCUAGAACCAGAUGGUAGGAGUUAGAGAUAUUUAUACCCACUGAGGGGUGGGCAUGGCUGGGGACCAUGCCCACGGUCUGCUUAUGCUCCUUUCCACCCAGCAGCUGACAAGCCAAGAGCCCAGCACUGCUGGAGAACCAGCUCCUAUGGGAUCAGAGGAAGAACAGAACAAAACCUUCUCCUCUCCAGUCCUCCUGCCAGGCCCAGGCAUGUUUGACCUGCUGCUUGUCCCAAGCUGGCUCUCAAAUGGGCAUCCCGAAUCCAUGAUUCUACUGCGUACAGCCAAACAUCCCCCAUCAACAAGAGCCCUGCAAGUGUCUGUGUGGGUUAACCUCAGCCUGGUCACCCC